rnacentral:misc_RNA from 1 species
UCCGGUUUGGCACCGGCAGUCUUCCUAGAGUCCCCGCCAUGCAGCACCUGUGUAUGCUGGUAUUGCUACCUCGUCAGGCUUUCACCCUUCUACUACCUACAUGUCAAGGCCAGGUAAGGUUCUUCGCGUUGCAUCGAAUUAAGCCACAUACUCCACCGCUUGUGCAGGCCCCCGUCAAUUUCUUUGAGUUUUAAUCUUGCGACCGUACUUCCCAGGCGGCGUAUUUAUCGCGUUAGCUACGCCACAAAAGGGGUCGAUUCCUUUUACAGCAAAUACGCACCGUUUACAGCUAGGACUAC